UGGGGCUGGAGGGACGUGGUUAUGGGGCUGGUGGGACGUCGGGGUCAACAGUAGAUGGGGUUAUGGGGCAGUGGGAGUGGGACGUGGUUAUGGGGCUGGUGGGACGUCGGGGUCAACAGUAGAUGGGGUUAUGGGGCAGUGGGAGUGGUGGGACAUGGUUAUGGGGCUGGAGGGACACUGGGGUCAACAGCAGAUGGGGUAAUGGGGCAGUGGGGUUGGUGGGACGUGGUUAUGGGGCUGGUGAGAUGUUGGGGUCAACAGUAGAUGGGGUUAUGGGGCAGUGGGGUGGUGGGACACAGUUAUGGGGCACUGGGGUGUGGUUAUGGGGCUGGUGGGACGUUGGGGUCAACAGUAGAUGGGGUUACGGGGCAGUGGGGUGGUGGGACACAGUUAUGGGGCACUGGGUUGGGGUUAUGGGGCAGCGGGGUUGGUGGGACGCGGUUAUGGGGC